rnacentral:ncRNA from 1 species
AAAAAGUUUUAUUUUAGCUUAAAAAAUUAAUGUAUAUUAUUUUUACAUGUAAAUUUUUGUAUAAAUUUAUUUAAAUUUAGAAAAUUUAAAUAUAGAAAAAAAAGAUCGCAGUAUAUAAAUUUAUAUAUUAAAGAGAUUUAGAUAUAGGGAUAUAUAAUAAUAUUAACAUAAUUUGUGCCAGCAGUUGCGGUUAUACAUAUAAUGUAAUUAAUUUUUAUUAGUAGGUAAUUAAAAUGAAAUUAAUAAUAUUAAUAAAAAUUAUAGUUUAUUAAGUGAAAUUUUAAAUUAUAGAAAUGUUAAAUUAAUAAUUUUGAAGUUAUUAAAUUUUAAUAAAAACUAGGAUUAGAUACCCUAUUAUUAAAGUGUAAAUUAUUAUAUUAAAUUAUUAAAAGUUAUAAUCUUUAAAAUUAAAGAAUUUGGCGGUAUUUUAGUCUAUUCAGAGGAAUCUGUCCUAUAAUUGAUAAUCCACGAUUAGGGCUACUUAUAUUAAUAGUUUAUAUAUCAUUGUAGAUGAAUAUUUUAUAAGAAUAUAAAUUUUCUAAAUUUUUUAUAAAUAAAAUAAAUCAAAUCAAGAUGUAGUUUAUAUAUAAGAAGAGAUGGGUUACAAAAAAGAAAUUUUUGGAUUUAUAAUUUGAAAUUGUAAUGAAAAUGGAUUUGAGAGUAAUUUAAUUAAUUUUAAUUAAAUGAUUUUAGCUCUAAAAUAUGCACAUAUCGCCCGUCGCUUUCAUAUAAAAUGAGAUAAGUCGUAACAAAGUAAAUGUACUGGAAAGUGUAUUUAGAUAGCA